UACGUAGGGGGCUAGCGUUGUCCGGAAUCAUUGGGCGUAAAGAGCGUGUAGGCGGCCCGGUAAGUCCGCUGUAAAAGUCAAAGGCUCAACCUUUGAAUGUCAGUGGAUACUGCCGGGCUAGAGUCCGGAAGAGGCGAGUGGAACUCCUGGUGUAGCGGUGGAAUGCGCAGAUAUCGGGAGGAACACCAAUGGCGAAGGCAGCUCGCUGGGACGGUACUGACGCUGAGACGCGAAAGCGUGGGGAGCGAACAGG
rnacentral:rRNA from 1 species